rnacentral:rRNA from 1 species
GACGAACGCUGGCGGCGUGCCUAAUACAUGCAAGUAGGACGCACAGUCUAUACCGUAGCUUGCUACACCAUAGACUGUGAGUUGCGAACGGGUGAGUAACGCGUAGGUAACCUGCCUAUUAGAGGGGGAUAACUAUUGGAAACGAUAGCUAAUACCGCAUAACAGUAUGUAACACAUGUUAGAUGCUUGAAAGAUGCAAUUGCAUCGCUAGUAGAUGGACCUGCGUUGUAUUAGCUAGUAGGUAGGAUAAUGGCCUACCUAGGCGACGAUACAUAGCCGACCUGAGAGGGUGAUCGGCCACACUGGGACUGAGACACGGCCCAGACUCCUACGGGAGGCAGCAGUAGGGAAUCUUCGGCAAUGGGGGGAACCCUGACCGAGCAACGCCGCGUGAGUGAAGAAGGUUUUCGGAUCGUAAAGCUCUGUUGUUAAGGAAGAACGAGUGUGAGAAUGGAAAGUUCAUACUGUGACGGUACUUAACCAGAAAGGGACGGCUAACUACGUGCCAGCAGCCGCGGUAAUACGUAGGUCCCGAGCGUUGUCCGGAUUUAUUGGGCGUAAAGCGAGCGCAGGCGGUUAGAAAAGUCUGAAGUGAAAGGCAGUGGCUCAACCAUUGUAGGCUUUGGAAACUGUUUAACUUGAGUGCAGAAGGGGAGAGUGGAAUUCCAUGUGUAGCGGUGAAAUGCGUAGAUAUAUGGAGGAACACCGGUGGCGAAAGCGGCUCUCUGGUCUGUAACUGACGCUGAGGCUCGAAAGCGUGGGGAGCGAACAGG